GAGCUUGUGCACAUAAACAAACAGAACUUUCUACUCUUUCUUCACAACUUCUCUUUCCUCAAUCUUUCUUCUGUUUUUUGACUCUUUUCUUUCUUUUCCUUUUUUUCACUAUUUUUUUCUUACACAACUAAGAACAAGACACAACUGUCAGUGUUCUAACUUGAUAGGAUCAAAGUUUACGCAAAGGAUGAUACGAGUUUCUAAAUUUUUUUAAGAAUUUGUAGAUAUAUUAAAGAAGCUCAAAAAACACGCAAAGGGAUAUGAUAAGCAACUAAAACAGAGACUCUAAUACACCGAAAUUUGACCAAACAAUGGGCUGAUGCAAAAUAUUUUUAUGGCUUUUUAGUGGAUAGGAUGAACACAAAAUAUAUAUGUAGCUAAGGGUAAAAUCUUACCGUAGUAACGAAAGCUUUGAUAUC
rnacentral:lncRNA from 1 species